rnacentral:rRNA from 1 species
GACGAACGCUGGCGGCGCGCCUAACACAUGCAAGUCGAACGGAGCUGAGAGAAGCUUGCUUUUCUUAGCUUAGUGGCGAACGGGUGAGUAACGCGUGAGUAACCUGCCCUGGAGUGGGGGACAACAGUUGGAAACGACUGCUAAUACCGCAUAAGCCCACGAUCCGGCAUCGGAUUGAGGGAAAAGGAUUUAUUCGCUUCAGGAUGGACUCGCGUCCAAUUAGCUAGUUGGUGAGGUAACGGCCCACCAAGGCGACGAUUGGUAGCCGGACUGAGAGGUUGAACGGCCACAUUGGGACUGAGACACGGCCCAGACUCGUACGGGAGGCAGCAGUGGGGGAUAUUGCACAAUGGGGGAAACCCUGAUGCAGCGACGCCGCGUGGAGGAAGAAGGUUUUCGGAUUGUAAACUCCUGUCGUUAGGGACGAUAAUGACGGUACCUAACAAGAAAGCACCGGCUAACUACGUG